ensembl:lncRNA
UGAAAGUUUACCCCUAAAUCCCCACAUUCGAUUGUGUCCCUUUGCUGUAUUCUUUUAUUUGACACUGUAUCUCAACAGCAGAGCGGGAUUUGUGUAGGUGUGAAACAGGCCGACUGAAGAGGAUGUUUACCAGAUCAGUAGACGUUCUGCCCCACGGUCAAGAAAAGCUGCAUAGAUUCCUGCAGUACAAGGUGCACCUUUCUCCAAAGACAAAAGCUGUGCCUAAUUGCACCAAUCACUGCUGGAUCCACAUUGGCUAAGGAGGGGAGCUCUGUGGAGUUAAAGGCUGCAGACACCUGAAGGACGGGGGAGGGUGUUUUGUGAACAGGCAGAGUAGAGCAGAGCAGCUUAGGAGAAGGUGCCCUCCUGCUUUCUGACCCGCUCACUAGAGAAGAUUGUGUUUUCUCCUGCCUUAGACAUUAGCUUGUGUGCUAUUGCUUGUGUUAUGUGUUAGCUUGUAUUUGUGCUAAGGUGCUAACUUCAACUUCACCCGUUGUCCGCUUAUUAGUCAUUACUACAGCCCCAUUCCUACUCUUUUCCGAAACGUGAGUUCUUUGUUUUUGUUUACUUACUUAUUUUAAGAAGGAGCAGUAGGGAGGAGGACGCCAUUUACUUUUGGUCAUCUUUUCUCAUGUGUUGAGUUAGUAAGGGAGCCAGGUAAGACUUCUGUCGUUUAUUUGAUAUUUUCUUUUGUGAGGUUACCUGAGUUUCUUUAACACUAAGUUAGAACUGUUAUGUUUGUUAUUUUGGCCUUGUUCCCUCCUGAAGUUUGUUUUGCUCCCUGUUUUGGAUAUUUGAGUUUGUAAAUAAAAUCUUUUUGUUUGGCAUUUAAAAAUAGUGUGAUCUUUUUGGAGUGUUGGGACAGGGGAAAUGGCAAUUAGACAUUGUAUUCAGGUUAGUAGAUAAAAAGCUGCUAUCUUAAUUCGUUUUGUUACUUCUCUUCCACCCCUAGACACGAGGAGAACGUAACAAUUGGGGGCUCGUCCAUCCGUUUGGUUACUUGUGUAUGUUGAAAUCAUCACAUUUGUUUCCUGUAUUGCUGCUUUAGUCUUUGGUAGGGGAGGGGUCAUAUUAGUGGAAAUAUGGACUUUGAUUUAUUGAAGUUUACCUUAUCUCCUUCUUUGGAGGAGUUUAAUAACUGUAGAAAGGUAGAUCUUAUUUUGAUAGCAGAUUUUUAUAAUAUCGCUGUUUCUAGGGCUGCUCGGAAACA